AGUGAACGCUGGCGGUAGGCCUAACACAUGCAAGUCGAACGGCAGCACAGGAGAGCUUGCUCUCUGGGUGGCGAGUGGCGAACGGGUGAGGAAUACAUCGGAAUCUACUUUUUCGUGGGGGAUAACGUAGGGAAACUUACGCUAAUACCGCAUACGACCUACGGGUGAAAGCAGGGGAUCUUCGGACCUUGCGCGAUUGAAUGAGCAGAUGUCGGAUGAGCUAGUUGGCGGGGUAAAGGCCCACCAAGGCGACGAUCCGUAGCUGGGCUGAGAGGAUGAUCAGCCACACUGGAACUGAGACACGACCCAGACUCCUACGGGAGGCAGCAGUGGGUAAUAUUGGACAAUGGGCGCAAGCCUGAUCCAGCCAUACCGCGUGGGUGAAGAAGGCCUUCGGGUUGUAAAGCCCUUUUGUUGGGAAAGAAAUCCAGCUGGUUAAUACCCGGUUGGGAUGACGGUACCCAAAGAAUAAGCACCGGCUAACUUCGUGCCAGCCGCCGCAGUAA
rnacentral:rRNA from 1 species